UCCUGAUCACAGUCUUGAUCGCUACCCGAUAACCUCUCCAGGCUUCGCAUUAUCCCGAGGAAAGUAACGCGUUGGACCCCCUGGAAUCGCACACGGUUGCAAUAUUAAUCUUCGUCGAUCGGUUGAAAAUAUAAUGUAAAAUGUCAAGAGAAAAAAAUCAAUAAUCUUGUCAUGCAAUCUCAUCGUUAAUUAUCGAAUGGGACAAUUGAGAAACAUUGGCACGAGAAACGUGCGCUAAACGAGAUAAUCGAAGUGGGAUAUCCCGUUUUCCCUGGCUACGCUUGAUUCAAUGCCAAGAAUUCUUCGCACACAAUUACGUUCUCUGUGCUUUACGAUCUGCGAUUAAGUAAUUGUAUAUAUCAUUGUGGCGACGUACGUAAGUAUAUGAGUAAUUAUAAGUCGAGCAUUAUCGAAGAAAUGAUAUAAAUAUACAAUCAAUAAACUCUUUUCAUUUUUUAAUAUUCAUUUACUUCUUAUUUAUUUAUUUAUUUAUUUCAUUCACAAGGAAACAAAAUAAUAAAAAUGAUCAAACACGUGUUAUUGAAUUAAACGGAUAAACAUGCUUUUUUCAAGUACCCAUAAUAUCACCUCAAAGAGAAAAAACAAUGAAAGGAAAUAUGGAGAGAAAGUCUGCUUCGACUGAUGUUUCUUUCUGGAUUGUCCAGUUCGAUUUUCUCGUCGGGGAAACUGACUUGUAAUAUUUCUGCGUUUUUAUUACUUUAAUGUAUCAAAUUCUUUUAAAGCGUUCAACGUUUUAAAACAUUUCCAACAUCCAGUGUUUCGACUAAUAAACUUCAUUGCAACUAAUAAUUUUCAAACGUUCUGCAUGAAAUAAACAAGACUAGUAAUUACGAAAUAAUAUAUUGAGAAAAUUUGCGAUUCCCUCUCGAUGUUCUUACGUUAGCGCGUUACUUAUGAUCAUGUGAAAAUAAUUAUACAUUCUGCAAAAUAACCUGUUGUUGUAAUUGUUUCUAAAGUGUAGUCGCUCGUGCAACGUUUUGUUUUGUAGCACGAUGCAGUAAAAAUUAGCAAAAGGCAUUUAUUAUUUCUCUAGAAUUUAUCUUGUGGAGCAUUAAAUAUUCAGAUUGUGUAUAGUCACAAUCAUAACUUGUUGGAAACUUAACUUGUUUCAGGAUACAGAAAAAUGAACAUUGUAUGGUAUUCAAUAAUAACCAACAUGGUAUGUGAAUUGAAAAUUUUAAAAUAUAAAUAAUAUUUAUGAUUAAUGUGAGUAAUGUUUAGGUUAAGUUAGAAUUAGGUUAGAUUAGGAAGACUAGGUUAGAAAGACGACUUAUUACUCUAUUUAGAAGCUAUUAUUAAAUAUAUUUUUUAAUAAUUACAAUGAUUGUUAUUGAAUGCAAAUUUUUAUUAGGAAAUGGAAUAUUGCGAAUUUUUUUUU